GGGAUGUAGCUCAGCUGGCUAGAGCGCUUGACUGGCAGUCAAGAGGUCGUGGGUUCGAGUCCCAUCUUCUCC
rnacentral:tRNA from 2 species